rnacentral:lncRNA from 1 species
AUGCCAGAGGGAUUUGCUGCCAGAGCCAGCACGGAUCCAGCAGCUCCUCCACCCUCUGCCCCACCAGCAUCCCGCUGCUCUCCUGCGCUGGCACCUCUGUGCUGGCUCCAGGACGGAUCUGUCCCUCUUACCGGGGCAGCCCUUUCCUACAGACAGGGUUUGUAUGCGUGCAGGCUGCUGCCUGGUAUGUGGGCACAGGCGGGGGCUCGCUGGGGCGGGCGGGUGCCAGCCCCGAAGGAUGGAGGCCAGCAGCGCGGUACUUACAUCGGUGAGGUGGCUGCCCCUGCGGGAGGAGAGGGGUGUCACGGGAGGGCCGGGGGUCACCGCACCGCCCCGGCAUCAGCCCUCUGCCCACCAUCCCCUCACCUGGGUGACAGCCCCGGGCCCGUGCUGUGCCCCCACCAUGUCCUGCCUGGGACCCAGCCUGGCCUGUCCUCACCCACUGCCUGUCCCCAGCCCAGGCCUGACCGCAGCCCUGCCCGUCCCCAUUCCCUGCCCCAUCCCCAUCCCAGUUUCCAACCCCAUACCCUGCCUGUCCCCAUCCCCAUCCCUAUCCCUGUCCCCGUCCCCAUCCCCUGCUCUGUCCCCACCCCACCCCACCCUAUCCACUACCCUGUCCCCACCCCCUGCCCUGUCCUCAGCCCUGCCCGACCCAUCGCUGCCUGUCCCUAUGCCUAUCCCUGUCCCUAUUCCCAUCCCCUAUCCCCAUCCCCUGUCCCCAGCCCCUGUCUCCACCCCCAUCCCCUGCCUGUUCCCAUCCCCGUCCCCGUCUCCACCCCCAUCCCCUGCCGUGUCCCCAAGCCGUGUCCCUGUCCCCAUCCCCUGCCCAUCCCCGUCCCCCCCCCACCAGCAGUUCAGCCGCCGGACACCAUCGAGCGCGGCGGCCUUGGCGCGGGCCAGCACGGCCCCGCGGGUCAGCCUCAUGGCCGCGCCGCGCCGCGUCACGGGGGCGGGGCCACGCGGCGAGGGGGCGGGGCUUCCACACAGGAGGCGGGGCCUCUACACCCCGGGACGGGGCUUCUACACUAUGGGGGCGGGGCUUCUGCAGACAGGGGGCGGGGUCUCUACACAUGGGGGCGGGGCUUCUACGCCCCGGGGGCGGGGCUGACACGUCCCCACCGCCCCAGGGGAGAAAAACCAUCCACCAGCACAGCUUCUUUUUAG